rnacentral:lncRNA from 1 species
UUUUCCUUUUAAAUCUGUGUCUCCUUCUGCUCAUCCUCCUGCUUCUUCCUUCCCUUUUGUUCCUUCUGGAGAACAUGAUGAUGAAUCUGAUUCUCCCAUUCACCUCUCUACUCCCUCUUCUCCCUCAUCUGUACAGCCACCUUUUCCUGUCACUAUCCCAAUUGAUUCAGCCUUCCCUUCUGCCAGCUCACCUCCUGUUUUGGCUUCUUCUCCUUCUCUUUCUGUAUCCCAAUUGAUUCAGCCUUCCCUUCUGCCAGCUCACCUCUGUUUUGGCUUCUUCUCAUUCUUUUCCUGCUACCAGGAAAUCUCAAAGACAACAUAAUCCUCCUUCCUAUCUCAAGGAUUAUGUAUGUCAACUACCUGCCUUCUCUGGUUCAUCUUCCUCCUCUUUGGAAUCUGAGCCUAUGUAUUACUCUCAGGCAGCAUCUAUUCCAGCAUGGCAAGCUGCCAUGAGACAGUAGUUUGAAGCUCUGGACACUAACCACACUUGGGAUGUUGUCCCCCUUCCUCCUGGCAAGAAGCCCAUUGGUAGUAAAUGGGUUUAUAAAAUUAAAUACAAGGCUGAUGGCUGUGUUGAAAGGUAUAAAGCAAGGUUUUUGAAUGACUAUUCCUUAUUCAUCAAAGGUAAACCUAGCUCACUUGUGGUGGAAGCAGUCUAUGUGGAUGACAUCAUACUUACUAGGGAUGACAGUGAUGAACUUACUGCUCUUAAACUGUUUCUGGAUGAUCAGUUUAAAAUCAAAGAUUUGGGUUCUUUGCAUUAUUUUUUGGGUCUUGAGAUGUCAGUUGUACCUGGUNNNN